rnacentral:rRNA from 1 species
UACGUAGGGUGCGAGCGUUGUCCGGAAUUAUUGGGCGUAAAGAGCUUGUAGGCGGUUUGUCGCGUCUGCUGUGAAAACCCGAGGCUCAACCUCGGGCUUGCAGUGGGUACGGGCAGACUAGAGUGCGGUAGGGGAGAUUGGAAUUCCUGGUGUAGCGGUGGAAUGCGCAGAUAUCAGGAGGAACACCGAUGGCGAAGGCAGGUCUCUGGGCUGUAACUGACGCUGAGGAGCGAAAGCAUGGGGAGCGAACAGG